GACGAACGCUGGCGGCGUGCCUAAUACAUGCAAGUAGAACGCUGAAGGAGGAGCUUGCUUCUCUGGAUGAGUUGCGAACGGGUGAGUAACGCGUAGGUAACCUGCCUGGUAGCGGGGGAUAACUAUUGGAAACGAUAGCUAAUACCGCAUAAUAGUAGAUGUCGCAUGACAUUUGCUUAAAAGGUGCAAUUGCAUCACUACCAGAUGGACCUGCGUUGUAUUAGCUAGUUGGUGAGGUAACGGCUCACCAAGGCAACGAUACAUAGCCGAACUGAGAGGGGGAUCGGCCACACUGGGACUGAGACACGGCCCAGACUCCUACGGGAGGCAGCAGUAGGGAAUCUUCGGCAAUGGACGGAAGUCUGACCGAGCGACGCCGCGUGAGUGAAGAAGGUUUUCGGAUCGUAAAGCUCUGUUGUAAGAGAAGAACGAGUGUGAGAGUGGAAAGUGCACACUGGGACGGUAUCUUACCAGAAAGGGACGGCUAACUACGU
rnacentral:rRNA from 1 species